AGAGUUUGAUCCUGGCUCAGAUUGAACGCUGGCGGCAUGCUUUACACAUGCAAGUCGAACGGCAGCACGGAGAGCUUGCUCUCUGGUGGCGAGUGGCGAACGGGUGAGUAAUAUAUCGGAACGUGUCCAAUAAUGGGGGAUAACUAGUCGAAAGAUUAGCUAAUACCGCAUACGCCCUGAGGGGGAAAGUGGGGGAUCUUCGGACCUCACGUUAAUGGAGCGGCCGAUAUCUGAUUAGCUAGUUGGUAGGGUAAAAGCCUACCAAGGCGACGAUCAGUAGCUGGUCUGAGAGGAUGAUCAGCCACACUGGGACUGAGACACGGCCCAGACUCCUACGGGAGGCAGCAGUGGGGAAUUUUGGACAAUGGGCGCAAGCCUGAUCCAGCCAUGCCGCGUGAGUGAAGAAGGCCUUCGGGUUGUAAAGCUCUUUCGCAAGGAAAGAAAACUUACAUGUAAAUAAUGUGUGAGGUUGACGGUACCUUGAUAAGAAGCACCGGCUAACUACGUGCCAGCAGCCGCGGUAAUACGUAGGGUGCAAGCGUUAAUCGGAAUUACUGGGCGUAAAGCGAGCGCAGGCGGUUUUGUAGGUCAGAUGUGAAAGCCCCGGGCUCAACCUGGGAACUGCGUUUGAAACUACAAGGCUAGAGUAUGGGAGAGGGGGGUAGAAUUCCACGUGUAGCAGUGAAAUGCGUAGAGAUGUGGAGGAAUACCAAUGGCGAAGGCAGCCCCCUGGCCUAAUACUGACGCUCAGGCUCGAAAGCGUGG
rnacentral:rRNA from 1 species